ACUCUUUGCGUCAGAGCUCUGUGUUACAAAAAAAGGUGAAGUCUUACUCAAUUCAACAGUUUUUAUGCAAAGUCCUCACGGGGAAGAGACUGAUGCCCUGCAAUGCCUCAGGACUCUCCAGAAUGUUUUCACCAGCAAAAAGGCCCUCAGCAGAUGCAGCCUCUCGACCUUGAACUUUCUAGCCUCCAAAAUGGACUAUCGGUACUGAAACCCAGCAAGCUGAAAUCAGCAAAACAAGAUGGUCUUGCUAACUUGAGGAAGCUGUAGCAGCUGGAAGCUCCAGAGAGGAGGGGGCUCAGAGUCUGCACAUCAAUGGGGAGACAUCAUUCUGGCUGCAUUAUGAAUGGAUGGUUUGGAGGAAGAAUGUGGAUAGCUAAACAAGAAGGAGAAUAGAAAGAAACUACUCUUAAGACUAUUGCAAUAUCCAGGUGCAAUGUGCUUUGUUUCUGACUGCAGACUAUAAUGUUUAUUCCUAUUGGGGGCAGAGCAAGAUUUCAGUUUCUUUUCUCAGCAACAAGAAAAUACUCUGUCUGAAAUCAAGCAACUUCUGGGAAGACCAAGAGUGAUGGAAACUAGAGUUACAAAGCAAAAACCCUACAUCCUGAAUGCCCAGCCCGGUCAAUGAAAUUUUUCUGUCUCAUUUAUCAGCUAACUUGGUCCUCUUCCCCUGGGAACAAAACUGAGAAGGGUUAAGAGAUAAUGUGGAAACAAACUCCCCAGCACUUGCCUAAGAGGGCAGCUGUGUACCCAGACCUUCUUUCCUCUAUGUCAUUGUACUAGAAAGAGAGAGUUCCAUACUCUUUAAUCUGAAUAGUUGGCACUCACUUAAAAAAGAAUGCAGCCUGAUUCCUCUCUGCCCCUCUAGCUAUUUCCAGAAAGUUGUUCAUGGGAUGAAUUGGUAAGUAAAGAAUUCAGACACUGGUUCUGAUUAAGGGAUCUUAUAAAUGAUUUAUAACCUUUGGGAACAUCAAAGACAGCACUCAUAAGCCAGGCAAGCUAAGGGGUGCUCAGGAGUAAAAUGCACCUCCCCAUCUCACAAAUCCAUUGUUUUGAUGAAAGGAUAAGAGGCAGUUGGCCUGGGAAGGUGAAAAGGCAGGAAAAGAGUGGGAAGUCAGCUCCUAGGAUAAUAACCACAUCCACAGGCAUUGUCUCCUUUCACAUAUUUACAGCUUUUCUUUCUUAUCUUUCCACACCUCUAUAUUCAGUUAUGUAUGACCUACUAGCAAUUUACAGCUGCUUUAAAUGCAUACAUUUCAGGUAGGGUGUGUUGACUUAUGCCUGUAAUCCCAGCGCUUCGGGAGGCUGAGGUGGGUGGAUCACUUGAGGUCAGGAGUUCAAGAUCAGCCUGGCCAACAUGGCAAAACCCCAUCUCUACUAAAAAUACAAAAAUUAGCCAGUCUUGGUGGUGCACAGCUGUAAUCCCAGCUACUCGGGGGGCUGAGGCAGGAGAAUGGCUUGAACCCAGGAGGCAGAGGUUGCAGUGAGGUGAGAUCACACCACUGUACUCCAGUCUGGGCAACAGAAAGAGACUCCAUCUCAAACAAACAAACAAACAAAUAAAUAAAUAAAUGCAUACAUUGUAUCAGAAAUUAUCUCCCAUAUUGAUGAGUCUUCCAUGGGCAUCUAAUUUAAAUAUUUUUUUCUGAAAAGCAAAAGGUGCUCUAUUAUGUUGCUGGUGAGAGUGCAAAAUGGUAUAGCCUCUAAAGAGAUUAAUGUAACAAUAACUGUUAGAACCAUAUAUGCAAUCACCCUUUGACCUAGCAACCUCACUUCUAGGAAUUCAUCUUGAAGACAUAUCUCUCUAUAUGUAGGCAAAAUGGAAGCUAUUCAAUGUUACAUUGUUAGUAAUAGCAAGUUACUGUCUAUUUUUGUAUCUUUCAAAUACAUGUCUAUUUAUGUGAAAGGAUAAACUGUGGUUUAUCCACAAAAUGAAUUUUUAUGAAGUUGUAAAAAAGAAUGAGUGACAUGUCCAUGAACUGUCAUGGAGUGAUUUCCAGAACGUAUUUU